UCUAAUCACAAGCCAGGUAAUGUUCUGUUCAUUGUUUUCCUGCUUCAAAUCUAAUCUGCUGUGCGGACAAUCGGCUGUGAGUCAUGUUUGUGAAAAUUACUGCUGGGAUAAUAACAUCUCCAGGUUAUCAUCUUGGAUCCUUCUGAGAAACGGUGCACAGGAUGAUGUGGGUACUGAUGCAGGUUCUCAAGGCAGAUGGCAUCACAUGAAGUUGAUAACCUGCACUCUCCAGCUGACCUUGGCCGCUGAAACAAACCGUCUGGGCCUGUGCGAGCCAAGCAGCUGCAGUGGCUCUGAGUGAUUCCUAGCAGACCGGUGGCCUGAAAGCAACCAUCCAUGCUUUCAUUUAUCCAGCUGGGGGCGAGGUGCAGCCACUCAGUGAAAUCACCUGCGUUCAUACUGCUUACAUGGUCGCAGACCACCUCGCUAGACUAACACUGCACCACUUCGCAGGCGUUAAUAACCAGAUUAACACAGUAAGAGUCUUGAGAGCCAUUUUCCUGCCCUGUUAUUCAUUAAACCUUGUGAGGGGUCUUGCCCGGAUAAUGUAAAUCUUUGUUUUUCAGCACAGUAUAAUCGCUCACGUUCAACAGUAAACAGUUGGAGGCUCCAGAGAUCAAAGAUUAAAGUGUGUAACUGUG